GCUUACCAUCUCUUAAACAUUACAAUCAUUUGGUACUCGAUUAUUUAUGGAAAAUGAAUCAUCGAUGUUCGUUCAACUCCGAUUAUGUAUUACCUUCAUGUUUCUGACCUGAUACACUCACUUCCAGAUCUUAUUAGUCCGAGUAAUUGAGAUAUUUUUACUAUUUUUGUUCUUCUUUUCAAACUAGGGUUUGCCUAAUUCUUCUUAAAUUGAUUC
rnacentral:lncRNA from 1 species